CUCCAGCGUGGUAUGGAGAAUGGCCAGAAGGGCCCCGGGAGCCUCCUGCCUCUUUGACCCAGUGGCCAGGUCAUCCCUGGGCCUCUUCCGCUGAAGUUAAAAAACUCAAGGAGGACUCCUGGAGAUGGUUUGAAAGAAGAACAUCUCGGAAAUGGGCUUCAGAGCGUUUAAAAUGGGGCGGCACACCCAGCCUUAGCAUGAAGAUGACUGAUCCCACCUCAGACCCUCUGGCCAGAAGAGGACACCAGACCUCAUUACAGAUGGUUGUGAGCCACCAUGUGGUUGCCAGGAAUUGAACUUAGGACCUUUGGAAGAGCAGCCAGAAGCCAGUGCUCUUAACCUCUGAGCCAUCUCUCCAGCCCUGUUGUUGGGUUUUUUGUUUUUUGUUUCUUUUCCAAAGACAAGGUUUGGAGCCUGUCCUGGA